rnacentral:lncRNA from 1 species
GUGCCCUGAGGGGAAUCUGCUAUGGAUUUGCUCUAUUUGUGCAGGGUAGAAGGAGUUAGCCCAGAAAUCUCACUAGAACCACUGUCAUGCAGGUGCAGAGGCAGCUGUGUGCAGUGAACCACCUGGGAAAGGGUGGCAACAGUGACGAUCACAUUGGUGACAGCCACGUCAGGGAGGUGAGAAUUAAUAGACCAGUUAAAUUGGGGCUGGGGAACAUGCCCUGUGGCAGCUUUUCUGGGACCUUCUGCUUCUCUAGACCUCAAGUGAGUUCAGGAAUUCAUCCGAGAUGGUUCCCCAUACAGCCUCCAGGUCUUCUGCAGGUCAGCUGGAUGGAUGCAAGUCCUUAUUGUGUGGGGGAAGCACAGGGAUAGGAAAGCGCCAAGUGUUUCCCACCUGUUUGGUACCUCAGUUGGGAAUUUGUGUGUCAGCAUGUGCCUGGGGCAUGGUGAAGAGCAGGGAUGGACAAAGCAGUGUCCCAUUGCUGCUCCUUGUGAGCCAGGCUGCUCUACACCUUGAUGUUCAUCCACACAUAGUCACCGUGAUCUUACGACGAUUGGGCACGUGCGUGGGAACAAUGGCUUUGUGCAUUCGGUUGCUCACCAGCUUUUUUCAGGAGGUGAAGGCUGAAAGCACUUUCAGAUACACUUGAAAGCUGAACAGGGUCCUCUAUUUCCAGUCUGUGAGGGAGGGCAUGACAGUCUUUUACGAACAAGCUGGGAGCAAACAAACGAUGAGUGAGAUGCCGAUGUGCAUCGGUGUUACAAAUUGCAUGCUUCACCUGCCAUCAAACGGAAAGCCAAAGCAGCCAAACCAGAAGAGAUGGGAGCUCAGGGUGUUCUGCCUCCACUGAAUCCAGCCCAUCCAUGUUCUCACUUGACACUGAGUUACAGGGUGAAGGAAUACAUACCGCUGCUGUAAGACUCGUGCUAGAAAGGAUGCUUUCUGCAGACUACUUUUUUCCGAGAAGUCCCUUGGCUUAUUUUAAGUUGAGAAAAGCUUUGGAAAAAGCAGUGGCUCCACUUCACAGCCUCAGAGCUGGCCUCUUUCCAGCCAGUACUCAAAGAGCACCCUUAGCACUGCUGAUGGCCUCGGUGCAGGCAGAGGGCACAGAUUCAAUGGUGCCAUCUCUGAGCCGUCACUUACAUGAAAAACCAGGCUGGAAAACAUCCCAGAUUUUGCAUCUGUUCUUCUAACAGAGCUGAUGGGCUGAAGGAGGAGAAAGCGUGGCAGAGAAAUGUCAUCCACUCCCUAGAAAACCGUGGCUAGCUCACCCCGCAAAAGCCUGGUUUCCACCAACUUAAGGUCACCAAAAAUGGAGCGUCCGUGUCUCCUGCACCUUCCAGGGUUGUACCAUUCAUUCUUACACAGAGAAAAGCUUGGAAACAUCACACAAGUAAAUCCUGAAAGUCAGAAACCCUGUGGAAACCCUAGUCCCUGUUAUCUUUUGGUUGUUCUUUUUUUCUUUUUUUUUUUUUUAAAAAAAAACUUCUUACUCUUCAUAGCUAAUCUUAUGAUGGUUUAAAAAUCUGAUGGGUUUGUCUGUGUGUUUGGCGCUGGCAAUAUCCCAUUGGACAUAAUGUGAAAGUGACCCACGUAGAGCUGGUCAGUCUUUUCUUCUGCAGAAAAUAUUAACGAAAAAUCAAACUGUAAAAAUGCUCUAACUUCUUUUCAAAUAAAAUUUCCAUGGAGAGUACUGAACCUUCA